rnacentral:rRNA from 1 species
GAACGCUUGUCGAGAUUUCGGUUUUGGCGAGAGUGGCGCACGGGUGAGUAGCGCGUGGGAACCUGCCCUGUUGUGGGGGAUAACCGAGGGAAACUUCGGCUAAUACCGCAUACGCCCGGGGGCGACUCCGGGGAAAGAUUGAUCGCAGCAGGAGGGGCCCGCGUCGGAUUAGGUAGUUGGCGGGGUAACGGCCCACCAAGCCUGUGAUCCGUAGCUGGUCUGAGAGGAUGAUCAGCCACACUGGGACUGAGACACGGCCCAGACUCCUACGGGAGGCAGCAGUGGGGAAUAUUGGACAAUGGGCGCAAGCCUGAUCCAGCAAUGCCGCGUGAGUGAUGAAGGCCUUCGGGUUGUAAAGCUCUUUCGCACGCGAGGAUGAUGACGCUAGCGUGAGAAGAAGCCCCGGCUAACUUCGUGCCAGCAGCCGCGGUAAUACGAAGGGGGCGAGCGUUGUUCGGAUUUACUGGGCGUAAAGGGCGCGUAGGCGGUGCCGAAAGUCAGGCGUGAAAGCCCCGGGCUCAACCUGGGAGGUGCGCUUGGGACUGCGGCACUGGAGUUCGGGAGAGGAGCGUGGAAUUCCCAGUGUAGAGGUGAAAUUCGUAGAUAUUGGGAAGAACACCGGUGGCGAAGGCGGCGCUCUGGACCGACACUGACGCUGAGGCGCGAAAGCGUGGGGA